CAGCCGCCGCGGGAAUACAGAGGGUGCAAGCGUUAAUCGGAAUUACUGGGCGUAAAGCGUGCGUAGGCGGCUUUUUAAGUCGGAUGUGAAAUCCCUGAGCUUAACUUAGGAAUUGCAUUCGAUACUGGGAAGCUAGAGUAUGGGAGAGGAUGGUAGAAUUCCAGGUGUAGCGGUGAAAUGCGUAGAGAUCUGGAGGAAUACCGAUGGCGAAGGCAGCCAUCUGGCCUAAUACUGACGCUGAGGUACGAAAGCAUGGGGAGCAAACAGGAUUAGAUACCCCUGUAGUCCCUGUCUCUUAUAC
rnacentral:rRNA from 1 species